UCCUCCAAGUUGGUAAAGAAUCUGCCUGCAAUGCAGGAGACCCAGGUUCGAUCCCUGGGUCAGGAA
rnacentral:tRNA from 1 species